AACAGGGGUAGCUUAAAGUUGAAAGUGUAACAUUGAAGCUGUUAAGAUAAUUUAAUUAUUUCCCUGUA
rnacentral:tRNA from 1 species